rnacentral:rRNA from 1 species
GAUGAACGCUAGCGACAGGCCUAACACAUGCAAGUCGAGGGGCAGCACGAGGUAGCAAUACUGAGGUGGCGACCGGCGCACGGGUGAGUAACACGUAUGCAACCUGCCGGUAAACGGGGGAUAGCCUCUCGAAAGAGAGAUUAAUACCGCAUAAUAUAUAGAUGCUGCAUGGUAUUUAUAUUAAACAUUUAUGGUUUACCGAUGGGCAUGCGUAUGAUUAGAUAGUUGGUGAGGUAACGGCUCACCAAGUCGACGAUCAUUAGGGGUUCUGAGAGGAAGGUCCCCCACACUGGUACUGAGACACGGACCAGACUCCUACGGGAGGCAGCAGUGAGGAAUAUUGGUCAAUGGGCGAGAGCCUGAACCAGCCAAGUCGCGUGAAGGAAGACGGUGCUAUGCAUUGUAAACUUCUUUUGUAAGGGAAUAAAAAGAGUUACGAGUAACUUAUUGUAUGUACUUUACGAAUAAGGAUCGGCUAACUCCGUGCCAGCCGCCGCGGUAAGAC